CACAACUAGUGUCUCUGCUUUAUAGUUUUAUUGUGCACGAAAAAUAGCAAAACAAAUAAAAUUGCAAAUAUGUGGUUGUCGAUUUAUCGUAUAAACUAUGUAUGUCUCGGCUCCCCAUGCUCUCAACUCAAUGCUGUUUAAUAGCAGAUUUAUAGGCCAGAGCCAGCUAUCACAACAACAAGAUGUGCAAGUUUGAUCUGUGUUGGUCCUGUCAUCAGCAACAAUCAUCAUCGCCUGGAUAAACAACAUUUUGAUUCGAGGAACUACCAAUGUCGGUUUCAUCUUCCCUUUAGAUCCACUCUGCUAUCGUGCACGUGCUGUGGAUGUAAUAUUCACGAUUCUGAGGCCCUUUUUUCCAUCACGCUUGGUGUAACAUUCAACUGUUCAGCGGAUGUGGAUGGAUGCCUGGCUGUAUUUCCCAGGCACAAAGGUAGGACAAGUGUAACUCUAUUCUUCCUUUUUGUCUCUUUGGUGGCGGUUAAAUCGUUACGGAGUACGAUUAUUCCUUAGCUUUUUGUUAACUCAGUUAGGGUUCAUUAGACAAAUCAAAUUUUCUGACCAAGAGGCACCCCUCCUCGUUUAUUUUUUCAAAAAAUAUAAAUCGCUAUCAAAAAUAGUAUGGCAUGAGAUAAAAGCAAUAGUCAAGGCUACAAAAAU